rnacentral:rRNA from 13 species
AACGACUCUCGGCAACGGAUAUCUCGGCUCUCGCAUCGAUGAAGAACGUAGCGAAAUGCGAUACUUGGUGUGAAUUGCAGAAUCCCGUGAACCAUCGAGUCUUUGAACGCAAGUUGCGCCCGAAGCCUUCUGGCUGAGGGCACGUCUGCCUGGGCGUCACGC